UAGUCCGAAUUGCAAAUGACGCUCCUAUUUCCAAGGAAGAGCCCAAGAGGCAAGAGCGUCGUGAUUCUCCGAACGAAAGAGCUCAGAGUAGAGGACCAGAGGCUCAUUGAAAGCACGUUUCGAAGGAGCCUGGGUUUUGUAGGGUUUUACGUCUCUAUCUGCAUUCUCCAUCGUUCCUGUCAUCGGCAACAAACCGAGCUUUAAUCUCAUGUUCAGGUUUCUUCAGAGCAAAGCUCGUAUUCAGAUUUGGCUUUUUGAGUAGAGGGGUCCAAGGAUUGAAGGCCAUAUUAUUAUUACUUGAAAUUGAAGAUGAGUGAUGCUACUAUGGCUAGUGAGGAGACUAAUACUUCUGAAGCCUUAUCUUCAAAAAUUUUUAAGAAGAAGAAACAAACAGCUACAAUAUGGGAUGACUGUGAUUUGACUGGUGACUUCAAGUUUGAUGCAGAAAGAAGUAGAUUGGAUCUUAUUCGCUUUAUAAUCUCUUAUUGGUUGUCCAUUUAAUAUUGUUGAGAAUCGAUUCUUUAAGAUAUUCUCCACAAAUCUCAACCCAUCUUUCAAAGUGGUUCCACAGACUAUACUAAAAAAUGAUUGCAUUAAGGUGUAUAAGGAAGAAAAGGAGAAGUUGUACAAAUACCUUGAUGAUCUCAACCGUAGGUUUAGUCUCACAAUAGACAUGUGGACGUCAACGCAAAGAUUGUCCUAUUGUGCAGUGACUGCGCAUUAUAUUACUGAUGAUUGGGUGUUAAAGCAUAAAGUGCUUGCUUUUACAGCUGUCAAGUCUCCUCAUGAUGGGGAAAAACUAUAUUCGACUGUCAUGGAUGUUGCGUUUGAGUGGAACAUCGGUAGGAGGUUGUUCUCCAUUACUGUAGAUAAUUCUUUUAACAAUGGUGUUAUGUUAGAGAAAUUAAGAAGCUUCUUUGUGAUCGAUCAAUGCUUCCUCUACGUGGUGAUUUUUUUCAUGUUCGUUGUAGUGCAGAUGUUCUCAAUUCUAUUGUGCAGGAUGGCUUGGGAGAGGUUACAGAAUUAUUACAUAAGAUACGUGAAAGUGUUAAGUAUGUAAGAUCCUCACCGCUUAGGGAGGAAAAGUUUGAAAAGGCUAGAAAUCAGGUGAAGGUAUUUUCCAAAAGGGAAGUCAUUGUUGAUACAUAGAUGGAAUUCCACAUAUGAAAUGUUGGAUUGUGCAUUAGAUAUGAAAGAAGCAUUCUGUCGUUUGGCUGUCCUAGAUCAGGAAUAUAAAAUGUGCCCAUCUAAGGAGGAGUGGAACAAAGGUUCAAUUAUUCGUGAUUGUUUGGAGAUUUUCUACACCACCAUUAAUGAAUGUUCUGGGAGAAAGUAUCCAACUGCUAACAUAUUAUUCCACAAUGCUUGUGGGAUUAAACUUGCGUUGUGCAAUUGGGAAAGUAGAGCAUCAUUUUUUGCGUUCAAUUGCAUACAAAAUGAAAGAAAAAUUUAAUAAAUAUUGAGAAGAUUGUAUUUUGAUUUUGGCAGUUGCAGUUAUUCUUGAUCCUAGAUUCAAGAUGAAGAUAGUUGAGUUUUAUUAUAAUAUGAUUUAUGGUGUUGAAUCUAAUGAGUAUGUUUUAAAAAUUCGGAUGGCUAUUUAUGAUCUCUUCAUGGAUUAUGUAGGAAGGUCAAGAGAUCCAUUGCCAUUAUAUACUAACUUCGAGAAAACUGGUCAUAGUAGUAAUUCACUAUCAAAGUAUGGGGUUGAUGCUAUAAAUUCUAAUGGUGGUGGUGAAGACUUGGCUGAUUUUGAGAAGUGGUGCAUUGAUCAAGGCAUUGUUUCCUCUAUAGUCCCUUGAAAAUCAGAACUGGACAUGUAUUUGGAGGAAGAUUUAUUUCCUCGAUCUAAGGACUUUGACGUAUUGGGAUAUUGGAGGAUAAAUCAUCUUAAAUGGCCUAGACUUGCAGCUAUUGGCUCAUGAUGUUUUAUCCAUUCCAACAACUAUUGUGGCAUCAGAGGCAGCCUUCAGUACUUCUGGUAGGGCUAUUUGCAAGUAUCAUAAACGUCUACGUCCAGAGGUUGUAGAGGUUUUGAUGUGUGGACAAAGUUGGUUAGAACCUCCAAUCAAAACAGAAACUGAUGUAGAAGUGGACGAAGAAGGUACAAAUUAUGAUGAGUCUGAAAAUGAAUUCAACUGGUUUGAGGUUUGAUGAUCACAUGAAACUGGUGUUGAAUGAGUAAAUCAUAUAAAGAAAAACAGCAUAAAGCCAUUCGGGAGCAUUCUUCCAGAAGGAUGUGAUAUCACUUUGCUGAUGAAGACACAAGUAAAUUGAAUAUUUUUCUUGUGACUCAUUUCCUUUCCCUAGCUAACAAAUGUUGCUUUCCACAUUUUAGUGGAAAAUGAUACCAACUCUGAAGUGAUUUGUUGUGUCAGUCGACUUUUCUUUUUCAAGUUAAAUGGAU